rnacentral:lncRNA from 1 species
UGUUGAACCAUACUGUCUUAGCUUACAAACAUAUUGCAAAUGAAGUGGACAUUUUCUAGAGCCUCACAAUAUCGUAGUCAUUUCUGGAAAUGAAAAGUCUUAGACAUAUGAGUGAAACUAGAGAAAUAUUAAAAGAGGCAAUGAAGUGAUAAAACCCCAGAGCAUAUAAAGAAAGUGAGAAAGAACUAAAUUCAUAGAGCCUGGAAAAGCAGUAAGUAAAGAAAGAAGGAAAGAAGAGUCUAGGACUGUCAGCAUAUUGACAGCAAUUAAGAAAAAUGUGGUG